rnacentral:lncRNA from 1 species
UUGUCUCCAUGCUCAUUUCUCCAUUUCUCCCUUCAUUUUCACAUUGAAGCUUGAAAGAAAAAGUCAAUUAAAAGAAAUUCAUAAAUAUCUCUUGCCAGAGAUGGACCUACUAUUAGGCGGUCGCGGGGACACCAUACAUUUAACAUAAAUUUUCACUACUCAUAAAGAUUAGUACAAGGGCCUAUGCUAAUAUAUAAAUAUUUCUUGAGGAUAUUUAUAAGUAUAGACAUAGAUUUUAUUAGAAAUUUCUGGAUGUCGUUGACCCCUCUCCCUAUAAUGUGUGCUCGCCUCUAUCUCUUUCUGGCGAUUCUUUAAAUUGUUCUACUCGUUUAAUAAUGUGUGCUCGCCUCUAUCUCUUUCUGGCUAUUCUUUAAAUUGUUCUACUCGUUUAAGGAUACUCAUAUGAUCUAACAAAAUAAAAUAAAAUAAAUUAAAAAAAUAAACAAAGAAAAGAAGCGAGGUCGCUGAACUAACUCUUCCACUACUUCCUCUGAUAUAAUCAAACUCCUACAAAGUAUAAAUUAUAAUGUAAGGUCCACUGCUGACUGCUCCUUACAUGGAUGUCCUCUCUUAAAAAUUAAAAUUAUGGAUUUUGCUAAUCGUUCUUUUUUUUUUUUUUGGUUAAAAAUUGUAGUCUGUACAUCGAUCCUGCUAAGGAAGAAAUAGGCAUCAUCGUAUAAAAAGCAAAAAAGGAUGAUGCCAUAUAUAACAGAUGAGGAUGUAAUUCAUCCUUUCUAACAGAAAUGCAACUAAUUAAAGUCUAUAUUAAAAAAGUCUUCUUCUUGGUUCUGAAUCUGAAGCUAGUCACUAAGCUUAGACAUUAAAUCUUCCAAGUAAAGUUAUCCAAGUAAGCAUACAUUUUUCGCAUAAAGUUGACCAUUUGCUAUUAGGAACUGGUAAUUCAUCUCUAGUAGUAUUUCUUCUAAUUCUCUUCUUCUUGUAUCCUAUAACCAGGGACGGAGCUAGAGUGAUCGGAACGGGUUCGGCCGAACCUAGUAACUUUGGUUCGAACCUUGUAUUUAUCUUAAAAAUUUCAUUGAAUACGUAUAUAUUAUUAAUUUAGAACCUAGUAACUUCAAACGAUUAGAAUCCCGAACCUAUAAGCUUGAAAUCCUGGCUCCGCCUCUGCCUAUAAUAACCUGACAAUAGCAGCUAACCCGAUUAAAUUCAAUAAGAAGGAAAAGACUAGAAAUAAAAAAGGACUUAGCGACUUGAGAAUGAACUAUAAACUUAUUUCAUAAAUCAAAAUUAGUAUGAAAUUUUAGAUACGGUUUUUUCAUUUAAGAUCGAUCAAAAACUGACGAUCUCCAUUGCGAUAAGAUAAAAAAUAUAAAUAAUCAUAGUUCUUACAAAAGACGGUUCAUGAAAUAUAACAAGAUGACAACAGAUUAUCAUAUCGUAAUGAAAGAUAAAAUUAUAGUUUAUCCUUAAUUUUUUUUCCUACUAACCAGGGAUAAUAAUGACAUUAUAUAAAUUCUGUCAAUUUUAUUUUUAUUUUUUUGGGUUGACUUUUUGGUCAAAGGGAAUAUUGUUACCCUACCCUAAAAAGGUUAAAGGAGGUAAGAUUGAAUUUACUCUAGUUUAAAUUCUAUGCCAAUAUACACAUAGUGAAUCUCCUGUCCUCUAGAAGUGAAUUUUUUAAAAUAACUUACUUAAAAGUACGAAGGCCCUCAGGGAAAUAUCGUUUGCCUUUUUUACCUUUUGAAGAGAGAUUUCACAAUAAACAAAAUAGUAAUUUAAUUAUUUUCCUAAUAGUUAGAACUUCCCCCCCCCCCCCCCUCCCCCCCUAAUAUUUAGGACUUUAAAAUCAACUAAAAUUAUAGUUAUAAAAUAUUUUCUUAUUAAAACUAUUUAGGAAGUCCUAAUAUUUAAGAAUUUAAAUCAAGUAAGCUUUAAUUUAUGUAAAUUCUUUCCUUGUUUGUAUUGAAUAAAAUAAGUACUAGCGUAUAAUUAUAAGUAUUGUAACACCUCCUUUUUCUACCCCGAAAGAGGGUAUAAGGGAGUUUUCUCCAAUUAAAGUGACAAUCGAAACGGGAUUAAUUAUUAGAUUCAGAGUCGCCACUUGGGAUAAUUUAUGAUGUCCAAGUCACCGGUUUAAAAUCCCGAAUCGAGGAAAUUGACUCUUAUUUACGGUCUGCGAACAAAGAAAUCCAGGUAAAGAAUUCUAUUAACCGGGAGAAGGUGUUAGGCAUUCCCGAGUUCCGUGGUUUUAGUACGGUCGCUUUGAUCAUACUUGGCUUAUUAAAUUGUUUAACUACUCAUUUAGAACCUAUGUGCUUUCACCUCUUUUAAUUAAAAUAUUAUCCUAAAACGAGUCAUGCGUACGUGUACUCAUUUCGUUUGGCGCGUCAAAAAUCAUGUCACGCGUACGUGUCCACAAUUCCUAACACUUUGUUAUUUAAGAAAAGUUUGGCCAAAGUUGCGCGAACGCAUACCUUAAUUUAUUUUGGAAAUGAUCGUAAUUAUGUCACGUGAAAGAAAAUAAUAAAGGACAAUGACCGGCUAAGAAUUUUCAAUUCCAAUAUUAUUCACUGACCAAAACGAGUGAAGAAAAAGCUAACAGAAAAUUUUGUGACUGAUUUUGGCUAUAGAUAUCAAAAGUCUAUAUUCAUUUUUUAAGACCCAUUAAUCGAAAACUCUAGUAUGUCAGAACUAAUGAAAAAUAUUUAAAGAAAAAUUAAAAGAACUAAGGAAGAAACACACCUUAUGUUUUCAUAUUGUCCAACAACGAAAAGAAGAAAAGGUAAAAAUCAUUUAAAGAGCCAAUUGAAAAUUUUUGUUUAGCCGUCCAAAUGGCAAAUCAGCUCAACAUAUAUAUUCAUUGUAACAGUUCUAUAUAUGAUCAAAUCUACGCUCACUCGAGCAUUAGCAGAAUUUAUUAUACGAAUUUGAAGAACAAACCAACAGUCAAAAUAAGACAAAAUAAAUAAAACGACAUUGUUAAAUCCCCAACGAUAACUUCUUUUAAUGGCUCAUCAAGCUCGAUUCACAACAGAAAUAAAGGGAUGAAAUAGAUGAACCUGUUUUAAUAUAUGAGAAACUGAAAGUACAGGGCUUCAAAUCUAACUGAGGAAAACAGCGACGAAAUCGAGCAGGAACCGCGAACCCGAAUCGGAAACACAGACCACACCUCGAACGGAAACUUCGACUACGCAGCAGUCAAACUGUUUCUCUGCCUUCCUUCCCAAUUUUUAUCCCCAAAAUUUGUUCCCCCAAUCUUUGUCCGUGUGUGCGUGUUUUGUAGAGGAUGGAAAGGCUGGUGGCGAUGGUGAGAGAAUGAGGAGGAAGACCAGGAAAAAUGAGGAUGGUCGCUGGGUCUGUUCAAUGACUGAAGAAGAUGAAGCUAGGGGUGUUGUUUUUUUGUUCAGAAAAAAGUCGUGGAAGGCUGCUUGAAGAAGAUGAUCAAUAGGGGGGGUCCGAUUUUUUGUUUUUGCGGCUGAUAGCUAAGUCUAGGUUUUUAGGUCUAGGUCUAGGGUUAUUUUAGGGUGAAGGUUAUUUUAGGUUUUAAAAUCUGAUAGGCUAAUGUAUUGAGCUUUAAAACUUGG